rnacentral:rRNA from 1 species
AGAGGUGACGCCUGCCCAGUGAAAACUUUUUAACGGCCGCGGUAUCCUAACCGUGCAAAGGUAGCAUAAUAACUUGUCUCCUAAAUAGAGACUAGCAUGAACGGCUAACUGAGGGCCCAACUGUCUCCUAUGACCAAUCAAUGAACCUGACCUCUCAGUCCAAAGGCUGAAAUACACCCAUAAGACGAGAAGACCCUGUGGAGCUUUAAAACCACUACUUCCAAAACUAAGCAGCCUUUUUAAGUUGGGGCGACUACGGAAAAAAACAAAACUUCCACGAACAAGGCUAACCCCCCCAUACCACCAGGUCAACAAACCAACAAUUAAAUCUUUGACCCAGAUAAAACUGACCAACGAACCAAGUUACCCCAGGGAUAACAGCGCCAUCCUCUUCUAGAGCCCAUAUCGCCAAGAGGGUUUACGACCUCGAUGUUGGAUCAGGACCCCCAAGUGGUGCAGCCGCUACUAAUGGUUCGUUUGUUCAACGAUUAAAGUCCUACGUGAUCUGAGUUC